GACGAACGCUGGCGGCGUGCCUAAUACAUGCAAGUAGAACGCUGAAGGAGGAGCUUGCUUCUCUGGAUGAGUUGCGAACGUGUGAGUAACGCGUAGGUAACCUGCCUGGUAGCGGGGGAUAACUAUUGGAAACGAUAGCUAAUACCGCAUAAUAGUAGAUGUUGCAUGACAUUUGCUUAAAAGGUGCAAUUGCAUCACUACCAGAUGGACCUGCGUUGUAUUAGCUAGUUGGUGAGGUAACGGCUCACCAAGGCGACGAUACAUAGCCGACCUGAGAGGGUGAUCGGCCACACUGUGACUGAGACACGGCCCAGACACCUACGGGAGGCAGCAGUAGGGAAUCUUCGGCAAUGGACGGAAGUCUGACCGAGCAACGCCGCGUGAGUGAAGAAGAUUUUCGGAUCGUAAAGCUCUGUUGUAAGAGAAGAACGAGUGUGAGAGUGGAAAGUUCACACUGUGACGGUAUCUUACCAGAAAGGGACGGCUAACUACGUG
rnacentral:rRNA from 1 species